AUUCUGUUUUGACCCUCGGCAUCC
rnacentral:piRNA from 1 species